UACGGAGGGUGCAAGCGUUAUCCGGAUUCACUGGGUUUAAAGGGUGCGUAGGCGGGCAGGUAAGUCAGUGGUGAAAUCUCCGAGCUUAACUUGGAAACUGCCAUUGAUACUAUCGGUCUUGAAUACUGUGGAGGUCAGCGGAAUAUGUCAUGUAGCGGUGAAAUGCUUAGAUAUGACAUAGAACACCAAUUGCGAAGGCAGCUGGCUACACAAAUAUUGACACUGAGGCACGAAAGCGUGGGGAUCAAACAGG
rnacentral:rRNA from 1 species